rnacentral:rRNA from 1 species
CUACGGGAUGCACCAGUGAGGAAUAUUGCACAAUGGGGGGAACCCUGAUGCAGCAACGCCGCGUGGAGGAUGACGCAUUUCGGUGUGUAAACUCCUUUUAUAUGUCAAGAAAAUGACGGUAGCAUAUGAAUAAGCACCGGCUAACUCCGUGCCAGCAGCCGCGGUAAUACGGUGGGUGCAAGCGUUACUCGGAAUCACUGGGCGUAAAGGACGCGUAGGCGGGUUGGAAAGUCAGGUGUGAAAUCCUACAGCUUAACUGUAGAACUGCACUUGAAACUUCUAAUCUAGAGUAUGGGAGGGGGAGAUGGAAUUAGAGGUGUAGGGGUAAAAUCCGUGGAUAUCUGUAGGAAUACCUAAAGCGAAGGCGGUCUCCUGGACCAUUACUGACGCUAAGGCGUGAAAGCGUGGGGAGCAAACAGGAUUAGAUACCCGAGUAGUC